GAUGAACGCUGGCGGCGUGCCUUACACAUGCAAGUCGAGCGAACGGACGAGAACUUUGCCCCUGUGACGAUUGCCGCGCACGUGUGUGUUACAUCUGGACAACCCAUGUAGAAGGGGGUGGUACCUCCGAGGACGGGUUGCUACCGCCGGAUAACUUUGUGAACCGCCGGGUUCACAACGGACCGAGGGUUUUGCGGUCAGUUGUAGAUUGAUCCGCGCCGCAUUAGCUAGUUGGUAAGGUAACGGCUUACCAAGGCGACGAUGCAUAGCCGACCUGAGAGGGUGAUCAGCCACACUGGGACUGAGACACGGUCCAGACUCCUACGGGAGGCAGCAGUAGGGAAUCUUCCGCAAUGGGCGAAAGCCUGACGCAGCAACGCCGCGUGUGUGAUGAAGGUCUUCGGAUCGUAAAGCUCUGUUAUUAGGAAAGAAAACAUGUGCAAGAAAAUAGGCACGGCAUGACGGUACCUAAAGAGUAAGCCACGGCUAACUACGUG
rnacentral:rRNA from 1 species